rnacentral:ncRNA from 1 species
CUGAAACCCGCCCUCAUGAACGCGGAAUUGGUAGUAAUCGCGGAUCAGUAAUGCCGCGGUGAAUACGUUCUCGGGUCUUGUACACACCGCCCGUCAAGUUAGAGGAGUUGGGGGCACCCGAAUCCCGCCUGUUUGUUUACAAAAGCUUUUUGAAUUUUCAACAAAGUGAUACGAAACGCCUCCUCCGUGAGAUAUAAAAUUAUCAAACGGAGCCGGCUUCCGUUGUUGAAAAAUCGAAUGUCUUUGCCGACAAACAGGCGGGGCAAGGUGAAACCAGCAACUAGAAUUAAGUCGUAACAAGGUAUCCGUACUGGAAGGUGCGGAUGGAUCACCUCCUUU